rnacentral:rRNA from 1 species
ACGCUCGACACCUAUGGGAGGUAGCAGUGGGGAAUAUUGCACAAUGGGGGAAACCCUGAUGCAGCGACGCCGCGUGAGCGAAGAAGUAUUUCGGUAUGUAAAGCUCUAUCAGCAGGGAAGAAACUGACGGUACCUGACUAAGAAGCACCGGCUAAAUACGUGCUAGCAGCCGCGGUAAUCUGAGCGGGCUGGCAAGGC